GACGUAGGUGGCGACCGUUAUCCGGAAUUAUUGGGCGUAAAGGGUGCGUAGGUGGCGGAAUAAGUUAGUGGUGGAAAAUCGGGGCUCAACCUCGUGGAAGUCAUUAAUACUGUUUUGCUAGAGGACAGGAGAGGUUAACGGAACUCCUUGUGGAGCGGUAAAAUGUGUAGAUAUAAGGAAGAACACCAAUAAGGCGAAGGCAGUUAACUAUUCUGAUCCUGACGUUGAGGCACGAAAGCGUGGGGAGCAAAUAGG
rnacentral:rRNA from 1 species